rnacentral:misc_RNA from 2 species
ACCGAAGCCUAUAACCGCCUCCGGGCGUGAUGGGCGGCUGGUAUCCUCCUUCUGAGGGGUGUAUGGCGCAGCGUGGGCCGGCUUUCGGGUCGCGAAUUCCCACUGUUGCGGCGGAUCAUUCCUUGGGCAACUCAGUGGGGGCAAUUGGAUAGCUCGGCGGGCAUCUUUAGCGGCUUCGGCCUGGAGGUGCUACGGGCUGGGCGCUGGGCUUCGGCUCACGUCCCGACCUUCUAACCAAUUCUGACCCCUCUUCAUUGAGGGUAGCCGGUGGCCUCUCGUCCCUCGGGAUGAAUGCUUUCCCGGUUAAGAUAGUUACCUGGUUGAUUCUGCCAGUAGUCAUAUGCUUGUCUCAA